CCCCUCUCAGGGUUGCAUCUGGAGAGUUUCCAGCACUCUACCAGUCUUGGCUACAGGAGGGAGAGUCAAGCAGAGGCCUACCCAUUCCAUUCUUAGCUUGGCCAGUGGCUAGCGUCUGGAAGGCAAUCUGCUGCAAGU
rnacentral:snoRNA from 1 species